AUGAAAGCCCUGGCCCCCAGUUGGCUGGAUGGAUCUCGGGGGAAAAGCAGCGAGCCCAUGCCUGGGAAGGAGCCUUCCGCCUGGGCUACUGCCGAGUUCUGUGAACACCUUACCAUCAUCUUCAGACACUGCUCGCGAGGUGCGCGUUUACAGGGAAGAGGAGAAAAGAAGAGAAGAGGAAGAGAACAGAAUGCUAGCCAAGGGUCCCAGGGGGAUUCUGAUUGCUGUCUCCAUAGUGACUCUAUGUGUCUUCAUAAAGCCUGUUCAGAGCCUACCGCUUCUCCUGUGUGCUGUCUGUUCCAUACAGAUGACCUGCCUUUCACUGCAAGGGACUCGUGCAUGGAGUCCCAACAUGGUCCGUCUAAAAAGGGUUUCCCUGUACACCACCAAAAACAUGCUGGGCACAUUGGUAACGCACACUCACAAACACUAAAGUUGACUCUUAUAGCCUUAUAGCCCUUGCUUCAAAUGCCUCCACCCCAAAAAGAAAGUCUCAUCUUUAAUGUUUAACUCAAUCCAGUUUUGCCAUCUUAGUCGCUGGCGUCACACCCUUCUCGCAUGAUUGUUAGCACCAGAGUCUGUUAUAAUUGUGGGGUAAAACUUAUUUUGAUGUGGAAAAACAUUGUGUCUCGUGGGAACCAAUUAAAAAAUCUGAGGAUCAAGAAGUGGACUAUACUUCGCUUUUGUAUUCUAUGAUUGAUGGGUUCAUUAAAUCAUCUGUUCACUUGGCAGACUGCGUGACAGGACCAGCGUGAGGAGAAGAAAUUCUGCUUUUGCAGGAACGUCAUAAUUGUCAUAGGAAUAUCUGCUAUGAUUCUGUUUCCCCUACAAUUUUAUUUCCUGCUUUCUUGUUCACAGAUACAUGCAUACGGAUGAACAUCGCGUGCAUCCUGAAGCAUGCACAGACACAAAAGAACGAGGAGGGGAUCUAUAUUUUUGUCGCCUGAUUCAUAAUACGAAUUGACAGUCUCAAUAAAUAAACAGGGAGGCAUGGAGCCAGAUAAUUGGAGAUGUUAGGGAAUGACAUACCAUGAAGGACAGCUUUUCAAUUUUCAGUUUGAAGGGUGUACCGUGCAGCACAAUUCCUCAUUAUUUAAAAACAAUCAAACUACCCUUGCUGCCCUGCUGGUUGUAGUUUGCCGUCAAAUAUGAUCGCGAGGAAAAAAUCAUUGCCAAUUUUGUCUUAUUAAAGAUGACCCCCGUUCUCUUCAUCUGCUUCUGACACUCGCCGCUCCGCUCAUAACCUGAAAAUUAGCAGCUGAGGGUCUCAAUGCCUGUCCUCCUGAAACGCAAGUCAUAUGGUUGUUCAUUUGCAGGCUAAUCAGAAAGCUGCACUAUUAAUGGAAAAUGAAUGAGGUCGGAUUUGAUUGUGGUUGAUGGCAUAGGCUAUGCUCCAAUUGUCCUGGAAUCCAUACACUUUAAUCAAUCUAUAUUGCGAGACAGCCAGUGCCGGUUGUGAGGGACAUUGCAAUUUUAAAUAUGAGACACUUCAAGGGACAGUUGAUGACUACAAUCUUUAUCCUCACAAUAUAAGAAAUAGGAGGUUCAAGGUAGCUAGAAAUCAUAAUAUUUCUUCAUAUUUAUACAAGGCCUAAAUGAUGUGUGAUUACCUUCUUUAUUUCUCAUCCAGACUCUGAGGGUGAAUUCCAUUCACUCUAUCCUAGUCACUGCAAAGUCUAGUACUGUAUGUGGCCAUCCUACACAAAGCCAUACUUUCCUGCCACUUUAUUAUGAAUCUGAAUGUUACCUUGAUGACAUACAGUAAUGGCAAAGUUCAUGUUUAUAGAUUAACAUUGCUGUGGCAAAUAAAUAUUUGAAUUGAAUAUGGCCUCUGUGUGUCAUUAUAAGAAACUUCUUUCUUACACAUUUAUUUUAACUGUCUGGUUCUGUGGUGCUUGAUUGUUUAAGAAAAAUUAAAGUUGGGAUUAAAUCCCAUAAUGUCUGUGACAAAAUUAAUUGUGAGGAUGUACAGUAUCACCCAAUAUCACAUGAUCGUAAACGAUAAAAUUACUUGAAGUGAAUGUACCCUUGGCUAAUUGGUCCCUUGUGAAGGGAUUCAAUUGCUCAGUUUAUUUUGAUACGAACCGGGAAAUAGCAUCCACAUCAGUAUUGUAGUCAUGACCUAAGUAGGUUGAGUUGAGACCGAGACCAGAGGAUGGCUGAAUCCGUCCAAAUGAUCCAAAGCCAAGGUCUAUGACAAGACCAAGAUCAUGAAAAUAUGGUCUUUGGCUCAGCCUCCAGAUAAACUCAUACUACAACGCUGAUCCGCAUCCCUAUAAUUUUAAGAUCUUGUGAAAUGUUUUACAACAUACUGUAGCUUUGUGUCCUGAUAUAUUGCGUUUUCCAUAAGAACAGGAAGUUUGGGUAUAAGGAAAGAUUUUUCUUGUCAGUAGUCUGUAGGUAAGUGGCAGCCAUGCAUUAUGCAAUCUUGCUAUCGAUUUGUAAUACAGGAUGAAUAUUCUUGAACUGUUUUCCCAGAAGAGAAAAUUAAAAUCAAAUCAAAUAGACAUGGACUUGAAGACACAAAUCCCUGAUUGUAUUUCUUUUUCAGCCAUGAACGCAUAAUAAAGUGGAUGUUAUAGUGCAUGUUUUAUUAGCAGCUAAUAAAGGGCUUGGUCUCAGUAAACACUGCU
rnacentral:lncRNA from 1 species